rnacentral:rRNA from 1 species
AAUAGAUACCCCGGUAGUCCACGCCGUAAACGAUGAAUGCUAGGUGUUAGGGGUUUCGAUACCCUUGGUGCCGAAGUUAACACAUUAAGCAUUCCGCCUGGGGAGUACGGCCGCAAGGCUGAAACUCAAAGGAAUUGACGGGGACCCGCACAAGCAGUGGAGUAUGUGGUUUAAUUCGAAGCAACGCGAAGAACCUUACCAGGUCUUGACAUCCCCCUGACCGGUACAGAGAUGUACCUUUCCUUCGGGACAGGGGAGACAGGUGGUGCAUGGUUGUCGUCAGCUCGUGUCGUGAGAUGUUGGGUUAAGUCCCGCAACGAGCGCAACCCUUGACUUUAGUUGCCAGCAGGUAAGGCUGGGCACUCUAGAGUGACUGCCGGUGACAAACCGGAGGAAGGUGGGGAUGACGUCAAAUCAUCACGCCCCUUAUGACCUGGGCUACACACGUACUACAAUGGCCGGUACAACGGGAAGCGAAGGAGCGAUCUGGAGCGAAUCCUAUAAAGCCGGUCUCAGUUCGGAUUGCAGGCUGCAACUCG